UUAACAUCAAUGAAAGAAAGAGUAAGCAACGAAGAGGGUGCAGAGAGAAUUGCCUAGGCUGAGAGCAAUUCCAAAUCGAGUUCCUGAAAGACAUUCUGGAGAUGAGCGCGUGCAAAGCCGCUCCGUUUCGCAAGCGUUAAUUGCUAGAGGAAAAAGGAAACUUUUUCAAAGAUAGGUGGUACCGCGAUUAUUUCGCCCUUGUU
rnacentral:ncRNA from 1 species